ensembl:rRNA 5S_rRNA 5S ribosomal RNA
GACAUUUGGUAGAGACUGUUGAAGCCAGCUGGUCCCAGCAGACCCCAGAAGGCAGCCACAUUCGCUGGUGUGGGGGCAAGGUCAUUAAGGGUGAAUCCUGGUGCCAGAUGUCU